rnacentral:rRNA from 1 species
GAUGAACGCUGGCGGCGUACCUAAUACAUGCAAGUCGAGCGAACAGACGAGGAGCUUGCUCCUCUGACGUUAGCGGCGGACGGGUGAGUAACACGUGGAUAACCUACCUAUAAGACUGGGAUAACUUCGGGAAACCGGAGCUAAUACCGGAUAAUAUAUUGAACCGCAUGGUUCAAUAGUGAAAGACGGUUUUGCUGUCACUUAUAGAUGGAUCCGCGCCGCAUUAGCUAGUUGGUAAGGUAACGGCUUACCAAGGCGACGAUGCGUAGCCGACCUGAGAGGGUGAUCGGCCACACUGGAACUGAGACACGGUCCAGACUCCUACGGGAGGCAGCAGUAGGGAAUCUGCCGCAAUGGGCGAAAGCCUGACGGAGCAACGCCGCGUGAGUGAUGAAGGUCUUCGGAUCGUAAAACUCUGUUAUUAGGGAAGAACAAAUGUGUAAGUAACUAUGCACGUCUUGACGGUACCUAAUCAGAAAGCCACGGCUAACUACGUG